rnacentral:rRNA from 1 species
UACAGAGGUGGCAAGCGUUGUUCGGAAUUACUGGGCGUAAAGGGCGCGUAGGCGGUCUUGUCAGUCCCUUGUGAAAUCCCCCGGCUCAACUGGGGAACUGCAAGGGAAACAGCAGGGCUUGAGUUCGGGAGAGGGAAGCGGAAUUCCGGGUGUAGCGGUGAAAUGCGUAGAUAUCCGGAGGAACACCGGUGGCGAAGGCGGUUCUCUGGGCAUGAUCUGACGCUGAGGAGCGAAAGUGUGGGGAGCGAACAGG